CGUAGGUAACCUGCCUGGUAGCGGGGGGUAACUGUUGGAAACGAUAGCUAAUACCGCAUAAGAGUAGAUGUUGCAUGACAUUUGCUUAAAAGGUGCAAUUGCAUCACUACCAGAUGGACCUGCGUUGUAUUAGCUAGUUGGUGGGGUAACGGCUCACCAAGGCGACGAUACAUAGCCGACCUGAGAGGGUGAUCGGCCACACUGGGACUGAGACACGGCCCAG
rnacentral:rRNA from 1 species